CGACCCGCACAACGGCUUCCUGGCGUGCGGGCGCAACCCUGAUACCGGAGCG
rfam:Oceaniovalibus guishaninsula JLT2003 contig00008, whole genome shotgun sequence.